UGAGGGACCUGGGUGUUUUAGUGUUGUGUAAUAUUUGUGUGUUUUGGACAGAGGAACAGAACGAUUCCCAAACCAGGGAGUUUACCACUUUCCCAGACUUCUCCAAACUGUCCUGCCCCAAGCCUGCGUUCCAGCUUCAGGGACUCACGGGGAAUCUCCCAUUCAUCCUGCCACCAGGGCUUCUGCGGUGCCCUCGACCUACAAGGCUUCGCCAUCUUUGUGCACAACCCAUCUGCAUCGCCUGGACAACAGGGAGAGGAAACAGGUUUAAAAUGAUUCUGAUGAAGACCCUGCACAGUAUCCAGUAAUCUUGAUUGAUUGAUCAAGAGGCUGUACGCACGGCCCCAUUCAUAUGUGUGGAUAUUACAGAAGGUCAUGAAUGUCUCGUGGAAGGAAAGAAGAGACUAUUGUGCAUGGGAGGCUUUUGGGACCUAGGAGUGGAUGACAUGGGAUGGAUCUGAUGGAGUAUGUGGUGACAUUUACCCAAGAUAAGACUGAUUGCAGAUUUUGCAUAGUUAGAUGCACAGAAUCUAUCCCGAAGUACACU